rnacentral:rRNA from 1 species
ACGGAGGGUGCAAGCGUUAAUCGGAAUCACUGGGCGUAAAGCGCUCGUAGGCGGUUUGGUCAGUCAGAUGUGAAAGCCCUCGGCUUAACCGGGGAACUGCAUUUGAUACUGCCAGACUUGAGUGUCGGAGAGGGUGGCGGAAUUCCGGGUGUAGGAGUGAAAUCCGUAGAUAUCCGGAGGAACACCAGUGGCGAAGGCGGCCACCUGGACGACAACUGACGCUGAGGAGCGAAAGCGUGGGGAGCAAACAG